ensembl:snoRNA
GAGCCCCCGCCGUGCCUCCUUGUGUUGUGGGGGCCAUAGCACGUUGCUCGUGCAUAACUGGGGCCGCCUGCCCAUCACGGGUGGCCCUUUUAACCACCAACUACAGGG